rnacentral:rRNA from 1 species
GUUGGCGGUCAAAGCCAAGGGGUAACACCUGAUCUCGUUCCGAUCUCAGAAGUUAAGUCCUUGUACGUUCCGCGAUGGUACUGCAUUUAUGUGGGAAGUCUGGAAAGCUGCCAAUG